rnacentral:rRNA from 1 species
GAUGAACGCUGGCGGCAUGCCUAAGACUUGCAAGUCGAACGAGAUGGCCCACAGAUUUAGAAGGAAGAUAGAGUGCUUGCACGAAGCUAGAAUUUUGAUGACGUGGAAAUUCCAUCUAGUGGCAAACGGGUGAAUAACACGUGGGUAACCUACCUCUAAGUUGGGGAUAACAGUUGGAAACGACUGAUAAUACCGAAUAAGCUCUACGGAGUAAAGAAGCCAUUAAGCUUCGCUAAGAGAUGGGCCUGCGGCGUAUUAGCUAGUUGGUGGGGUAAGAGGCCUACCAAGGCGACGAUGCGUAGCCGAACUGAGA